AUUUGCAUAAAAUCUGAUUUUAUUGCCUUGGGGGCUCAUGGCAAAAAUGUAAGAUAAAAUACAGAUGAAGAAAAUCUGAUCCAAACAAAUACAAUGGCCCUAACAAAGUACACUGGCUAACUGGCUUUCAUUACUGUUGUAGCUGUCCAAAUGAGGAUUAUGGCAUUCAGUGCAUACAAGCAACUUGCAAACUUCUACAAAAGAUCUGCAAUCUAGUUCAUUACUACAGCUCUGGACGCAAUUUCACUGAUAUUCCUGUUGCUUGCAUGAACCUUGUCGCCUCUGUAUCAGGAUUUGCCCAGACAUCACAACAAGCAGACGCUUUUUCUGAGAAGAUACUUGCAUUACUCAAUGAGGCCAAGCAAACUGUCAGAGCAUGGAGCACACAAACUUUAAAAGGUAGACUUUUAAACAGAAGUUAUGUGACGUGUGCCAGCUUCACUACAGAAAUUGAGAUUUGGAAUAACAUUGUAGCCAUAGAUUUCAUGAGUAAGGACUUCACUAAAGAAUGGAGAGAGACAUUUACAACAGACUUUGAGGGGAAAUAUCAACAGGUAUUAAUUACACAGUUCCAGUAUGCAUGUUUACUUGGGUUGGAAAAUGGUCC
rnacentral:lncRNA from 1 species